GACGAACGCUGGCGGCGUGCCUAAUACAUGCAAGUAGAGCGCUGAAGGAUGGUCUUUGUCCUCACUGGAAGUGGCGCGCACGGGUGUGUCACGUGUGGGGAAUCUCUCUUUGCGCGGGGGACCACUUUUGGAAACGAAUGCUUAUACCACAUAAAAACAUUAAACAUAAGAUUUAAUUAUGAAAUAUGCUAUCGCCACACCCAAAGGUAACUCCGCGUUGUAUUAGCUAGUUGGUGAGGUAAAGGCUCACCAAGGCGAUGAUACAUAGCCGACCUGAGAGGGUGAUCGGCCACAUUGGGACUGAGACACGGCCCAAACUCCUACGGGAGGCAGCAGUAGGGAAUCUUCGGCAAUGGACGAAAGUCUGACCGAGCAACGCCGCGUGAGUGAAGAAGGGUUUCGGAUCGUAAAACUCUGUUGGUAGAGAAGAACGUUGGUGAGAGUGGAAAGCUCAUCAAGUGACGGUAACUACCCAGAAAGGGACGGCUAACUACGUG
rnacentral:rRNA from 1 species